rnacentral:rRNA from 1 species
CGAGAGGACCGGGAUGGACAUACCUCUGGUGUACCAGUUGUUCUGCCAAGAGCACCGCUGGGUAGCUACGUAUGGAUUAGAUAAUCGCUGAAAGCAUCUAAGUGAGAAACUAACCUCGAGAUGAGAUUUCCCAUUCGUCAGAAGUAAGACCCCUGAGAGACGAUCAGGUAGAUAGGCUAGAAGUGGAAGUGUAGUGAUGCAUGGAGCGGACUAGUACUAAUAGGUCGAGGACUUAACCAAG